rnacentral:rRNA from 1 species
GGUAUGGGAUGAGCUUGCGUCCGAUUAGCUAGUUGGCGGGGCAACGGCCCACCAAGGCGACGAUCGGUAGCCGGCCUGAGAGGGUGAUCGGCCACAUUGGGACUGAGAUACGGCCCAGACUCCUACGGGAGGCAGCAGUAGGGAAUAUUGCACAAUGGGGGAAACCCUGAUGCAGCAACGCCACGUGUGGGAAGAAGCAUUUCGGUGUGUAAACCACUGUCGUGAGGGAAUAAUACGCGGUUUCGGCCGCGGGGGAAUGUACCUCGAAAGGAAGCACCGGCAAACUUCGUGCCAGCAGCCGCGGUAAUACGAGGGGUGCAAGCGUUGUUCGGAAUCACUGGGCGUAAAGGGAGCGUAGGCGGAUGUUCAAGCGGAUUGUACAAUACCGGGGCCCAACCCCGGACCUGCAGUCCGGACUGGACAUCUUGGAUAGUUCAGGGGCAGGC